AGAGGGAACUAUCGAACAAUAGUAUAAAUUCCGAGUAUUGAAAAAUGGCUUUCAAACUAUUGCUUUCAAAACAAAAUGGCUGCCGAAAAUCAACUUGCAAACCUGAAAUCAUCGAAGAAAUAAUUGAAGAAAUUGAAGGACACACUAUUCCUCUAAAAGCAAAAGACGCAAUAAGGGAGGGUGUUUUUACAUGCUUUAUGCACCUUUUACAUGCCUAAAACAAUUUAUUUGGCAAUUUAAAACCGGAAAAUAACAGAAUCGGGUGACAAGAUUCAGACAGCUGGAUUCGUUUGACUCAAAAGCGUAAGAGUGAUGUAAAUUAUAUUUGCAACCUAACGUUUGUAUAUAUUAUUAUUUUUCAG